rnacentral:rRNA from 1 species
UACGAGGGGGGCUAGCGUUGCUCGGAAUCACUGGGCGUAAAGGGCGCGUAGGCGGACUUUUAAGUCGGAGGUGAAAGCCCAGGGCUCAACCCUGGAAUUGCCUUCGAUACGGGGAGUCUUGAGUUCGGAAGAGGUUGGUGGAACUGCGAGUGUAGAGGUGAAAUUCGUAGAUAUUCGCAAGAACACCAGUGGCGAAGGCGGCCAACUGGUCCGAUACUGACGCUGAGGCGCGAAAGCGUGGGGAGCAAACAGG